rnacentral:ncRNA from 2 species
CUGUCCGAGGGGCGCUGCAGCAAGCAUUGGCUUGUCAGGCUCGGAUGGGGCGUUUAGCAAACGCAUCAACGGCGCCCACUCGAC